CCUUCCCAGCGGGGGCGGGGCGGCCAGGCUGGCCCAGCGUCGCCGCGGUCCCGGGGGCGCCGGGGGGCUCCGGCCCUUGGGCUCAGCCUGCCGCUGGCCCAUUGUGCGACGCCGGCCUCUGAUUGGCUGGACGCGGGGCUCGGCGCCCCCACCCCAACCCCGCGGCUCCGCGCGGCACCCGCCCGGCACGGGGGUCCCGGGGUGCACCCCAGCGCUCUGGGCCGCGCCGCUCCCUGGGGCAGAGGACACCGGCGGGCUCCGGGGCGGAGCGCUCCCUCCCUGGACACCGGGGUGGCUCCCGGGGCAGAGCGGGCUCCCUGGACACCGGGGUGGCUCCCGGGGCAGAGCACUCCCUCUCUGGACACCCGGGUGGCCUCCGGGGCGGAGCUCCCUCUCCCUGGACACCGGGGUGGCCUCCGGGGCAGAGCGGGCUCCCUGGACACCGGGGUGGCCCCCGGGGCAGAGCGGGCUCCCUGGACACCGGGGUGGCCCCCAGGGCAGAGCACUCCCUCUCUGGACACCCGGGUGGCCUCCGGGGCGGAGCUCCCUCUCCCUGGACACCGGGGUGGCCCCCGGGGCAGAGCGGGCUCCCUGGACACCGGGGUGGCCCCCGGGGCAGAGCGGGCUCCCUGGACACCGGGGUGGCCCCUGGGGCAGAGCGGGCUCCCUGGACACCGGGGUGGCCCCCGGGGCAGAGCGGGCUCCCUGGACACCGGGGUGGCCCCCAGGGCAGAGCGGGCUCCCUGGACACCGGGGUGGCCCCCGGGGCAGAGCGGGCUCCCUGGACACCGGGGUGGCCCCCGGGGCAGAGCGGGCUCCCUGGACACCGGGGUGGCCCCCGGGGCAGAGCGGGCUCCCUGGACACCGGGGUGGCCCCUGGGGCAGAGCGGGCUCCCUGGACACCGGGGUGGCCCCUGGGGCAGAGCGGGCUCCCUGGACACCCGGGUGGCCCCUGGGGAAGAGCACUCCCUCUCUGGACGCAGGGGUGGCCCCUGGGGCAGAGCAGGCUCCCUGGACACCGGGGUGGCCCCCGGGGCAGAGCGGGCUCCCUGGACACCGGGGCGGCCUCCGGGGCAGAGCGGGCUCCCUGGACACCGGGGUGGCCUCCGGGGCAGAGCACUCCCUCUCUGGACGCCGGGGUGGCCACAGGAGCCAGGGAAGCAGCCCUGCCCGAGGACGCACCCUGGGCGCACGGUGCCGCAGGGAUGCCAGCCAUCCACCAGGAGCAGUCUGCUGGGUGCCCAGCACUCGCUCUCAUUAGCAAGCCUUGCUUGAAAGGCACGAUGCCCCUAGGUUCAUCCGUGUUACAGCAUGUGUCAGGCUCUCUUCAGUAUUUCAUCCUUUAUCCGCUCAUUUGUCAGUGGAUCCUUGGGUUGCAGCCACCCCUUGGCUAUUGUGAAUAA
rnacentral:lncRNA from 1 species